AGUUACGUAUCGAAUGAAAAAAUUACCAUACAUGAUGGAUAAUGUAAAUAAUCAGAAUUAAAUUUUUAUUUUUAUUUCUUGUUUGAACAAAUGACGCUACACUCAAAGCCAAGUUAAGUAUAAAAGGAAAAUUUUGACACGAAAAAGUAUCAUUCAGUAAGAUGAAACUCCACGCAAUAUUAUUGGUCGUGCUUGGUAUUUUCGUACACGGAAGUAUUCAGCAAAACUUCGGUCAGGGCUUUGAUAGCUUUGAUAGUUUACGAAUUGGAGGUGGCUGCAAUUCCGAUGCUGACAUAUUAUUUCAACUUUACAAAAUUUUGUUUUUCGUAACGUCGCAGGCACCAACUACAACAACAACAACGACGACAACAACUCCAUAUUAUUAUUAUUAUCCAGUCCCAUAAUCAUCAUCUCUAUAACGUGCUUGCCACAGAAUUUAAAUGAUUUUCUUUAUAGAAUUUUGUUGGCUCUGUAUGAACUAAAUAAACUUUGUGAAACUAAAAAUUU